GUAUUUUAUGAAAGGAGAGAAGGUUAGCAUUCACCUUGACAAGGAUGGAAGAGGCCCUUGGGCCUGCCAACAAGCAUAGGGUAAAGCCAUUUCCACCUACUUUGUGAUAUCUAACCAUCAUAGCCA
ensembl:snRNA